rnacentral:rRNA from 1 species
UACGUAGGGACCAAGCGUUGUCCGGAAUCAUUGGGCGUAAAGAGCGUGUAGGCGGCUUGUUAAGUCUUGCGUGAAAUCUCGGGGCUCAACCCCGAGCGGUCGUGAGAAACUGGCAGGCUAGAGUGCGGGAGAGGAGAGUGGAAUUCCUGGUGUAGCGGUGAAAUGCGCAGAUAUCAGGAGGAACACCAAUGGCGAAGGCAGCUCGCUGGAACGGUACUGACGCUGAGGCGCGAAAGCGUGGGGAGCGAACAGG